rnacentral:rRNA from 1 species
UACGAAGGGUGCAAACGUUGCUCGGAAUUAUUGGGCGUAAAGCGCACGUAGGCGGCUUUGCAAGUCGGAUGUGAAAGCCUUUGGCUUAACCAAAGAAGUGCAUCCGAAACUGCAGAGCUUGAGUACUUAAGAGGAUCGCGGAAUUCCCGGUGUAGAGGUGAAAUUCGUAGAUAUCGGGAGGAACACCAGUGGCGAAGGCGGCGAUCUGGGAAGAUACUGACGCUGAGGUGCGAAAGCGUGGGGAGCAAACAGG